UACGGAGGGGGCGAGCGUUAUUCGGAAUUAUUGGGCGUAAAGGGCGCGUAGGCGGCCCUGUAAGUCAAAGGUGAAAUCCCUCGGCUCAACUGAGGAACUGCCUUUGAAACUGCAGGGCUUGAGGCCGGGAGGGGGUAGCGGAAUUUCCAAUGUAGCGGUGAAAUGCGUAGAUAUUGGGAGGAACACCAGUGGCGAAGGCGGCUACCUGGACCGGUUCUGACGCUGAGGCGCGAAAGCGUGGGUAGCAAACAGG
rnacentral:rRNA from 1 species